GUUUCUCACAUUAACAUACAAUGUUUUUCUGUUGCAGUAGUGAACAUUAACUCUUCAACAGUCUUCCUGUGGAGAUUUGGAGUACUGCAGAUCAAAGACAAGUCAAGGAAAAAAUAACAUCCCAGAGGACUCAGGGUGUAACCUAGUGAAUCCAACAGCAACACGAGCAUAUGUGAAAAGCAGAGCUAAUAUCAAAGCUAACAAGUUGGCAGAUGGACUUGCCAAGGAGCUAGAUGGUGCCACUUGGAAAAUAUCUUCCACUGCUUAGCUCUAUUUUAGUGUGCAAAAAAAGAAGAGAAGGUGCAGGUGUAUUUUACAAUAUUGCAUUUGAAUAUUCAGUGGCACCCUGGGAGGUUACUAAGUGCCAGAGAACUUACACAGAGGAUGCUAAGAACUGGAGAAUCUUACCUUCCUCUACACAGGCUACUGCAGUUGCUGCCAUGAUACAGGCCCCUCAGGGGCCACCAUUCUGGUACCCCCUCUAAAUUGGUGCCCAGAUUUGUUCACCUACGAUGCAUCCAGAAUUAGGCAGUAGCUGAGCCACAUGGUUUUGGACUGCAAUUCUGGGCUUAGGCACAGGCAUAGUCUUUCUGUAGUAUAACACGACCCCAUUAUGGAAUGGUUCCAUAAUCAAGAUAUGAGACGAAAUGCUGUAUUAAAAGACUGAGGUGCCUUUUUAAAUACUAGGGGUAAGUUGCAUGAGCAAAACUAUUAUUAUAAAAUGGUAUUCUAAAAAAAUAUAAAUGUUCUUUCCUUUUAUCCUAUUUAUCUUCAUUACUGACAAGCACUGUAAUUUUUUUUUUGUGGAAUAUGUAGUCAGUUUAAUAUAGUACCCAAUAAAAUCUUACAUCCAUAUGUUACUUUAUAACAUAUGAGAUCUAUAAAAUACUUCCUUUAUAAUUUUCUUUUCAAAAUAGAUGUCAUUUUAUCUGUCUUCCUAAACACAUACUUCUCUUCAAGUGUCUCUCUGCUGAUAUAAUGGCUUCUACUUCUUACAUUAAGCAUGAUCUUGCCAUGGGACCUAGACAGAAAGCCACGGACUGACUAUUUUGCAAACCUUUUUGGGAAACAAAAGCAGACUGUGUAUUUUCUGAGAUAACACUAAUGCAGACAGAAGAAAAUAUGGAUUCUUACACUACACCAGUAAGACCCUUCUUUCCUGCUUUACCACCAAGGAUUGCCAGAUGUCUGCUGAUGAAAUGGUACCAUAGUGACAGUUCCUGGUGG